CCUACGGGGGGCAGCAGUGGGGAAUAUUGCACAAUGGGGGAAACCCUGAUGCAGCGACGCCGCGUGAGUGAAGAAGUAAUUCGUUAUGUAAAGCUCUAUCAGCAGGGAAGAAAAUGACGGUACCUGAGUAAGAAGCCCCGGCUAACUACGUGCCAGCAGCCGCGGUAAUACGUAGGGGGCAAGCGUUAUCCGGAUUUACUGGGUGUAAAGGGAGCGUAGACGGCAGUGCAAGUCUGGAGUGAAAGGCGGGGGCUCAACCCCCGGACUGCUCUGGAAACUGUACGGCUGGAGUGCAGGAGAGGUAAGUGGAAUUCCUAGUGUAGCGGUGAAAUGCGUAGAUAUUAGGAGGAACACCAGUGGCGAAGGCGGCUUACUGGACUGUAACUGACGUUGAGGCUCGAAAGCGUGGGGAGCAAACAGGAUUAGAUACCCCAGUAG
rnacentral:rRNA from 1 species